CCUUGUCUCCAUAACUCACACUGGAGCACAGUGGUGCUAUCAUGGUUUAUUACAGCCUUGACCUCCCAAACUCAAGCAGUUCUCCCACCUGAGCCUCCUGAGUAGCUGGGACCACAGGUGUGUGCCACCACGCGUGGCUAAUUUUUUAAGUGGAGGAAAAAGGAGAGGUGGAAUGAAUAGAGUCAAGAGGACAAAGACAGGGAGACAUGGAGAAUGAGGACUCCUCCCAGGGCAGAACAGGCGUGCAGCCCCCCAGCCUCCCUGCUCCCCUGCACCCACAAUCUCAUGAAGGGGACAGGACUCACCUUCGACAAAGCCAGUCAUCCGAAGUCAGGGCUGAGGGGCACUUCUGGCCUUUCAUCUUCACCACGAGGGAUGCCUCGGAGCUGAGGGACCAGGGACAGCACUGCUCGAAGCACACGCCAAAGGUGCAGUUUCCACACCCCUGGGUCCUGCCCAAGGGCACGAUGGCAUCGUCAUAGCAACAGUGCUGCAGGGCAUCAUAGAACUUGUCCCCACAUCUCAUGUGCCACUAGCACAGCAUCAGGUAAGCACUCAUGGGGGCCACUGGAGGAGACAGAGCUGGUGAGGUCCAGAUGGGCGUGGCAGGUGGGUCCCAGCCUGGGUUCCCCUGGGAGCCACACUCCGCCCCCAGCUUCCUAGUCCCUCCUGGGCUCAUCUGAGGCUCUGUGUGAGCAGAGGAGCCUGAGGAUAUACAGAGAGACCAAGACAGCUGUGGGAGAGGGAAGGGGAGGAGGGGUGAUCGGGAAGCCAUGGGGCAUCCUUGGAAGCCCAGGAUGGGGAAGGGUGGCUCCUAGGGUGUCUCUGCCCUGAGUGAGGCUCUGGGAAAAGCUAGAAGCCGACCUUGCCCUGCCCUCCUGCAGAGACAUGCUGGGCCCUGGGGUGAGAGAAGUGCUAGACAGGUUAUGUGUCAUAGUGGAUUUGAUGCCAUCUUCAUUGAGAGCCAGAAGAGGACUGAUGCUCCCUGCACCCUCUGUGUCUCUCUCUUCUCCAAAAUGGAGGCUUCUUUGGCAAACAGGAAAUUGCAGGAUGGUCCAGGGGUCGUCCUCACCCUCCCACACCCACACAUCCACAGUCUUACAUCCCACCCUGUGAGUCUUUAGCUGAGACACAGACCAAAGGUUGCUCCAUGAUCUGGUCCCUUUCUAGAUGUGAAUCAGUGCAAGGGCCCAGGCCAGCAGAAGUGUGAGGCCAUCCUUUGAUGCGGGAGCCAAAUGGUGUCCAGACCCAGCGGGAGCUGAGAAUUCAGGAAAAUCUCCCCAGUCAGCUCCACAGGGGCCCACAGUGUCAGCUCAAGUGUCUCCCAGAUCUUCGAAGAUAUGGCUAGAGAAAAAUACAAAAGCACACUGACUUGUAGUGAGAUGCUUCUGGGCAUUUGGGGCCUCGCCGAUCUCCUCUCAUAGGUUACAUCCCCCACACCUUCACCACCGGGUCCAGCUGCUCUUCACCAGUUCUUCAGUGUCCUGUCUCUUUGCUUCUUGGAUCCUGCACUUCAGCACAGCAUAAGGGACACCCCACAACCCUGUGGGGCCAACAGCCCUACAUCUGGUGCCCAACUUGUGGGUUCCUUAUUGCUGUGUCUCAGCCUAGCUGUUGGAGUUUCUUCAAUGAACAAAUUCAGCUCAGGAACCCUGGGUGUCUGGUAAGAAAGGUGGUUUUAUUCCUUGUGAUGCUCACAGAUAUCUUGGGGUAACCAUGGGACAAGCCGGCUCCAAGCAUGCCUCCUAUCUUUCUUAAAACUCUUCUAAGACAUGGGGGAGUGUCCGUGCCUUCAGACAAGCUUGUUCAGCUCUUUGAAUUAGUAGAACCUUUAUGCCUGUGGUUUCCAGCUGAUGGAUCUCUGGAAUUAAAGGACUGGAAUAAUACAGGUAGUCUACUUAAAAUAGCUAGAAAGGUGGGGAAUGCAGCAGCUCCCUUGGCUCUAGCAACUUGGGCCGCUGUUCGAAUGGUGCUUGAAACUUUGCCAUCAGAUGACUUUAUUAUGGAUGAUUUUCCUUUACUUUCUGCAUAAGAAGUUGAAGAGGUCUUAACCAGCCUCUCUGACACUCCAUCACCUUAACCUGCUACUCAGCCUGACACUACUACCUCUCCCACCUCUCCCAUUGCUGCCACUCAGUUGCCUCCACCCGUUUCUGAUCUUAUUACUGAACUACAACCCCCUAUUUAUUCUGCUGCUUCUCCUAUGACUUCUUUGGCGCCUAUAACGGUUGUAGCUGUUCCCAAUAAUGUGACGUAUCAACAACCGAGAAAGUCGGGUCCCCAGGAACAAAACUCGGUCCAAAAGGACACCCACAGGUAUGAGGAAAUGCAUUUGCACUCUCCUGUCUCUCCUUCUACCCCUCCUUUUCCACCUACCGGCCCGGGCCAGAACGUCCCCCAAAACUCUCCUUUUCCACCUGCUGGCACAGACCAGAGCGCCCCCAAAACCUGUCACGGUGCGGAAUUGAGCACCCUCAAAUGUCAUGGUGCAGAGUUGAGCACCCCCAAAUGCUGUCAUGGUGCAGAGUUGAGCACCCCCAGAUGUCAGGGUGUGGCGUUGAGCGCCCCCAGAUGCUAUCAUGGUGCUGAGAUGAUCGCCCCUAAAAGCUGUCAUGACACAGAGAUGUGCACCCCCACUGGCUCCCUCAGCAUUAAUCCAGGCACCCCCAAUAUUUCUUCUAACUCUUCUCAUACUGUGCAGUCCUGCUCUGUUUCUCAAGUCACUACAGGGGAUCCUAUUAAAACUACACAGGCUUAUCCGGUUAUAGUUCACCCCCCAUUACAGGGAAAUAAUAGAAUGCCAGCAGUCAAUAAUAAACCUGCCCCCCAUUCCCCCCUCCACCACUUCCUAAUGCUGAUGUGCCUGCCGCUAACGGGGGUGGGGGGGAACCAGCCUCAGCCAGAAGUGCCCGUACAAUCUACCCCAUUCCACAGCCCCCAGGCGCUGCUCUGCCGGCUCAGCCUCAGGUCCCACUGGAACAGCGGCUGCCGGCUUUCGCAGUCAUCCUUAAACCUGACCCUUUAAUCCUAAUCAAAGCUUAGCACAUCCUGUUACUUGGCAAAUCUUUAUGCUUCCUUUUCUUAAGGACUUUGAAAAAUCUGUUCAGCAAUAUGAAACGAAUUCCCCUGUUGUCCGUGCUUCCGUAAAAUCUAUUGCAAAAGGGCAACGGCUGAUUCCUAACGACUGGGAAACGCUUCCGGAGUCAGGAUUCUCUCACUCCCAAAAUUUACAGUUUAAAUGGCAAAUGCUUCCUGACUUCUGAGCAGUUAACAGAGUCAUUCAGCCCAUGGAAACUUUACAACCAGGCCUCCCUCCCCACUUGAUGAUAUGAAAAUCCUGGCCUUUACUUACUAUUGACUUAAAGGAUUGCUUUUCGACAUUCCUCUGGCGUCGCAGGACUGUCAUAAAUUUGCCUUCACAGUCACAACCAGAUGAGGUGUUUGCGGAGAGCAAAUAGGGUAUGGAAUGGAUAGUGAAAGACAUUUUUUUUUGGGUGGAGUUUUGCUAUGUUGCUCAGGCUGGUCUUGAAUUGAACUCAACUGAGCCUCCCACCUCAGCACCUGAGUAGCUGGAAUUGAAUGUGCCACUGUGUCUGGCUUGAAGAAAUUUUUAAAUGCCAGCUUUAGCCUCAAGGCCAGUUACUGAAACAAGGACUAAGUUAGACUUUUAUAUAAUAUUCCUCACUUUGAUGUGAACAUAUUUCCUUUUUCUUUUUCGGACAUGGUCUCAGUCUGUCACAUAGACUGGAGUGCAGUGGCACAAUCUCAGCUCACCACAACCUUUACCUUCCAGGCACAAGUGAUCCUCCUGCCUCAGCCUCCCGAGUAGCUGGGAUUACAGGCACGCACCACCAUGCCCAGCUAAUUUUUUGUAUUUUUAGUAGAGACGGAGUCUCACCAUGUUGACCAGGAUGCUCUCAAUCUCUUGACCUCGUGAUCCACCCGCCUCGGCCUCCCAAAAUGCUGGGAUUAUAGGCAUGAGCCACCACGCCCGGCCAAUAUUUUCUAUAUUAACUGAUUCCUUUGCUGCUUGUCUCAGUGCCUUCAUACCCCUCUAUGUAAUAUUAGUUUAUAUUGGUUGAUCCUUGGUGUUUACAGUAUGAAAUGGUAAGAGAGGCUGUUAAUCAUCUGGGAGAUGGACAAUGCAUUUUCAAAUCUCUCUUCUGUAGAGAAGAUUAAAGGUCUUUGGGUCAUAAAACUAAUAGUUGCAUCACAUUAGGUGGAAAAUAGUAUUGCUGCCAGCUUUAUUUGGAAGUUGAAAAUGUCUACAAUGAGUGUCAAUAGAUGCUUAUUUUUGAAUGGGGUGGACUGUGCUAGAACUUCUAUUGUCAACUUGUCCCCAGAACUCUCCCUUCUGGGCCCCAUAUUUAAAAUCACUUGAAUAUGGGGCCAGUGAUUUUCCAGAUCAGGUGGGCCAGGUGCAGUGGCUCACACCUGUAAUCCCCGCACUUUGAGGCUAAGGCAGGUGAAUCACCUGAGGUCAGGAGCUUGAGACCAGCCUGACCAAGAUGGCAAAACGCUGUCUCUACUAAAAAUACAAAAAUUACCUGGACGUGGUUGUGGGUGCCUGGAAUCCCAGCUACUUGGGAGGCUGAGGCAGGAGCAUUGCUUGAACCCAGGAGGCAAAAAUGGAGGUUGCAGUGAGCCAAGAUUGUCCUAUUGCACUCCAGCCUGGGUGAUAAAGCAAGACUUCAUCCCAAAUAUAUAUAUAUAUACACACACACACACACACACACACACACAUAUAUAUAUAUACACACACAUACAUACAUAUAUAUACACACAUAUAUUUAUAUAUAUAUACAUAUUUACAUAUACACAUAUAUAUUUAUACAUAUACUAUAUAUACACACACAUAUAUAUAUAUAUA